rnacentral:rRNA from 1 species
AGAGUUUGAUCAUGGCUCAGGACGAACGCUGGCGGCAUGGAUUAGGCAUGCAAGUCGAACGAAAAGCAGGAGCUUGCUCCUGUGGACGAGUGGCGAAAGGGUGAGUAACGCGUGAGUAACCUGCCCUCAAGUCGGGGAUAACCUCUGGAAACGGGGGCUAAUACCGGAUGUGGAUAAUUUUUCGCAUGGAAUUUUAUCUAAAAAUUUAUUGCUUGAGGAUGGGCUCGCGUACCAUUAGCUUGUUGGUGCGGUAACGGCGUACCAAGGCGACGAUGGUUAGGUGGAUUGAGAGAUCGGUCACCCACACUGGGACUGAGACACUGCCCAGACUCCUACGGGAGGCUGCAGUCGAGAAUCUUCCGCAAUGCGCGAAAGCGUGACGGAGCAAUGCCGCGUGGUCGAUGAAGGCCUUAGGGUUGUAAAGACCUGUCACAUGGGACGAACUUUGACGGUACCAUGAGAGGAAGCCACGGCUAACUACGUGCCAGCAGCCGCGGUAAUACGUAGGUGGCGAGCGUUGUUCGGAUUUAUUGGGCGUAAAGGGUCCGCAGGGGGUUUGCUAAGUCUGAUGUGAAAUCCCGGGGCUCAACCCCGGAACUGCAUUGGAAACUGGUGAACUAGAGUAUCGGAGAGGUAAAUGGAAUUCCUGGUGUAGCGGUGGAAUGCGUAGAUAUCAGGAAGAACACCGAGAGCGAAGGCAAUUUACUGGACGAUCACUGACCCUCAGGGACGAAAGCGUAGGUAGCGAACAGGAUUAGAUACCCUAGUAGUCC